GAGAAAGAUAUUAUAAGUAUUUUGAUCCUAAUUUUAAAUUUUCUUUUGUAGAGCACUUGGUUUACAAGAGAAUAGAAAACUGGAACUUAUUUUCUUGCGCAUGUAAAGAAGAUGCAGCACCUUCAACUAGAUGCCACUAGUGAUAUAACAACAACAAGAAGAGAAGUAAGAACAAAAGAUGGUGGUACAUCACUCCCAAUAUCUAUGCCAAAUGUCUUUUUAUUGGACUAUAGAAACAUACGUAUGCCUCUCUUUUCUUUAUUUAUCUUUGACAAUCUGGGCAGGCCAAAAUACACAUACUAAAUAAAAUCGAAAGGUAAGUUUGCAUAUAUUAUCUUAUCAUUAU
rnacentral:lncRNA from 1 species